rnacentral:rRNA from 1 species
UACAGGGGGGGCAAGCGUUGUUCGGAAUUACUGGGCGUAAAGGGCCAGUAGGCGGCCAACUAAGUCACACGUGAAAUCCCCAGGCUUAACCUGGGAACUGCGUGUGAUACUGGAUGGCUUGAAUUCGGGAGAGGGAUGCAGAAUUCCAGGUGUAGCGGUGAAAUGCGUAGAUAUCUGGAGGAAUACCGGUGGCGAAGGCGGCAUCCUGGACCGACAUUGACGCUGAACGGCGAAAGCUAGGGGAGCGAAACGGG